GUUAUGCUGUUUGUGAAUAAUUUGAUUCUGUGUAAAUAAUGUCAGGAUGAAAUUGUUUUUCAUGUGUGCAGGUCAUUACUGUGGACUGACUGAUGAGACAGAGGUGGAUUUGAGAAAAUUAAAUGCUGAGAUGAUUCAUAACUCACUCUGUGGAUCAACAUCUGUAUCUGUUUUUAGAUGAAACCAUGACCUCCAGAAUGAAUCUCUCUGAAGAACAUGAAACAAAGAUAAAGACAGUCAAGAGUCUGUGGCAGAAUGAAUCUCCUGAACCCAGCUGUGUGUCCAUGAAGAGUGACGAGUCAAUGGAUCAUCCAAUUGGAUUCAGUUUGGGAGAAUCAUCUGCUGAUCUGAGUCAAAAACAUAAAGGAUCAGAUUCACAUCCACCAAAGAAGAACUUAGACUCCAUUUUCAAGGAGCUUGAGCACAAAAUCAUUUCUGAGUUAAAAAGCUUUAAGAGACUACUGAGUCCAGAUUACCCAGAAUGCUCUGAAAGAGACCAUUAUGAUGAUGAGGGUCAUAACAGAGUCAGAGAGGGGCUUCUGAAGAUCACACUGAUCAUCCUGAGGAAGAUGAACCAGACAGACCUCGCUAACACACUACAGACCAAACUGAUGCCUGUGUAUCAACAAAAGCUCAAAUCCAGACUACAGGACAAAUAUCAGAGAAUCAGUGAAGGAAUGUCCAAUCAUGGAGACUCAACACGUCUGAAUGAGAUCUACACAGAGCUCUACAUCACAGAGGGAGGGAGUGGAGAGAUCAAUAAUGAACAUGAGGUGAGACAGAUUGAGACAGUGUCCAGGAGACCAGAGACACAGGAAACACCAAUCAACUGCAAUGACAUAUUUAAACCCUCACCUGGACAAGACAAACCCAUCAGGACUGUGCUGACUAAAGGAGUCGCUGGAAUUGGAAAAACAGUCUCUGUGCAGAAGUUCAUCCUGGACUGGGCUGAAGGAAAAGCCAAUCAGGAUGUUCAUUUCAUAUUUCCACUUCCUUUCAGGGAGCUGAAUUUGAUACAGAAAAAUCUCAGUCUUGUUGAUCUUCUAAAUCACCUUCACACAGAAACCAAAGAAUUUAAGUCAGCAGAUUAUGAUGAUUACAAAGUCAUGUUCAUAUUUGAUGGUCUGGAUGAGUGUCGACUACGUCUAGAUUUCCAAAACAAUCGGAGCUUGUCUGAUGUAACAGAAUCAGCCUCAGUGGAUGUGCUGCUGACCAACCUCAUCAAGGGGAAUCUACUUCCUUCUGCUCUCCUCUGGAUCACCUCUCGACCAGCAGCAGCCAAUCAGAUCCCUCCUGAGUGUGUCGACCAGGUCACAGAGGUACGAGGAUUCAACGACCCUCAGAAGGACGAAUAUUUCAGGAAGAGAAUAAACGAUCAGAGUCUGGCUGAUAGAAUCGUCACACACAUCCGAUCAUCAAGAAGUCUGUUCAUCAUGUGUCACAUACCAGUCUUCUGCUGGAUUUCAGCCACUGUUCUAGAGAGGAUGAUGGGUAAAGCAGAGAGUGCAGAGAUUCCCAAGACUCUCACACAAAUGUUCACACACUUCCUGAUCUUUCAGACCAAACUGAAGACACAGAAGUAUGAUGGGAAAUAUGAAAUCGAUCCUGAUCAGGCUAGAAAGACUAUUCUGUCUCUAGGAAAACUGGCUUUUGAACAGCUGGAAAAAGGGAACCUGAUCUUCUAUGAGAAGGACCUGAAAGAGAGCGGCAUUGAUGUCAGAGAAGUGUCAGUGUACUCAGGAGUUUGUACCCAGAUCUUCAGACAGGAGUUUGGACUGCAGCUGGGGAAGGUGUACAGCUUUGUUCAUCUGAGUAUUCAGGAGUUUCUUGCUGCUUUAUUCAAGCUGCUGUCCUUUUCUGAACAAAACACAGGACUGAUGAAUGUGUUCAGGUCACCAAUGACCAAUUUACUGAAGGGAGAAGUAGACAAGGCCUUACAGAGUGAGAACGGACACUGGGAUCUUUUCCUCCGAUUCCUUCUCGGUCUCUCACUAGAGUCUAAUCAGACUCUCUUACAAGGCCUCCUGAGAAAGACAGUAAGCAGCUCUGAUAUCAAUCAGAAAACAGCUGAAUACAUUAAACAGAAGAUCAGGGAGAAUCGCUCUCCAGAGAAAUCCAUCAACCUGUUCCACUGUCUGAAUGAACUGAAUGAUCGUUCACUAGAGCAGGAAGUCCAAACAUACCUGAGCAGCACAGGUUUCAACUGUCUCUUUGGAGUCAAUCUGUCUGCUGCUCAGUGGUCGGCUCUGGUGUUUGUGCUGUUGAACUCAGAAGAAGAGCUGGAUGAGUUUAUACUGAGUAAAUAUGAUCUGUCAGAAGAAUGUCUCCUGAGGCUGCUGCCAGUGAUCAAAGCAUCUAGAAAGGUUAAUGUUUCCAGGUGUCGUAUUACACAGAAAGGCUGUGCUGCUCUGAUUUCAGCUCUGGAGGAUCCACACUGUAAACUGGAGAAACUACAAACGGUCAUGCACACCAGAAGAAAGCGUACUAUCAGAGCUACAUUAAGAGCCCCAGACCAUUUUUAGUGUCUAAAAAAUUGAGUAAGUUUCGCGGCUAUCGUGAUCACGUGGACACAACGACCGCGGUCAACAACGGGAAAUCUGCUUGCCGGUCACAAGAAAGCUGAGGCUUAAACCACCUUAAGACUCCUUUAAAAAUGCAGGUAAGUCAGUAUUAACAGUUAAUGAAAUAUUGGCUGUGUUUUCGGGCACGCAACACGUUCGGUGUAAUUUUACAAUGCUGUUGCAGCCGUGCUGUUCUGUGGUAACGUUAACAACGCAAGCUUUUCUAGAAUCACUGUGGCUUUGUAGUGUUUUUUCAAACCACCAAAUAUUCAGCUAAAAUACGGUUAAUACAGCUCACCAAUUUGAAAUGUAUGUAAAAUGUCCUAUUUUAAAGCAGCAUAGCCUGCCCGUGUAUGAGGGGGAGUGGCCGUAUUACUGUUUAACGUUAACCGCCGAGUUGGUUUCGUCAUUGUUAUUCACUUGUGUGAUGCGCAUAUACGUGUGAAUAAUUGCAGAAAACAGCGACUAAACUAGUCUAUCUGUAGUCCAGCAAUUGUAACUGGUGUAAUGGGACAAAUCCCGGUGCGCUGCAGCGUCAGUGGCCGGUUGAAAUAAACCUUUUUUUAUCGGCCGUCACUCUGGGUGAGUUCUCACACCAUGUCGGAAUAGCCAAAAACUACAACAUUACUGUGUGUGAAAAGCUAACGUAACGUCUCUUUGUAUAACUCGUAAUUACAACUGUAAACUCGGUGCAAAGUUUUCCGGGAGCCCCUGCUCACAUUUGUACCAAAGCACCGAAACAUCACCCGGAAUCAGUCAAAUGGCAGAGGCAUAACGUAGUGAAGAAAUUAUCGCGCAAAAUCAACCAUGGUUUUAUUGUAGUAAAAUGUAUUAAGUUAACCAUGUUUUUGGCAGCUUGAUUACUAUUUGUAUUGGACAGUUUUACUACAAAUAUCAUGGAUAAGAGAUAUGGUUAAUGUAUUAAUGUUGUUGUUUUUUUUGUAGUAACACUGGCUAAUUUUUAAAGGGGCAGUCAACCACUACCCUACUGUUAUUAAUUUGAAGUGUAAAUCUAUGAAUCUCAUGGUCAAAACAUUUGUUUUACAGCAUUGACAUCAUCGUCCAAAAACAUCUAAAUAACAACACAAGGCAGGAGGAUGUUGCUGAUCCACCUAUUGGUGUUCAAGAGGAAUUAGCUGUCCUCAACCAACUCCGUGAUCUUAGCAGAGCCUGCUCCUAUCUUGUGGGAUUGACAUGUGCCUUGGACCUGUGAUACCCCAAGAACUUUAAAGGGUUA